UACGGGGGGGGCAAGCGUUGUUCGGAAUUACUGGGCGUAAAGGGUUUGUAGGUGGCUUGCUAAGUCGGACGUGAAAUCCCUCAGCUUAACUGGGGAACUGCGUCUGAGACUGGCAAGCUUGAGUGCAGGAGAGGAACGCGGAAUUCCAGGUGUAGCGGUGAAAUGCGUAGAUAUCUGGAGGAACACCGGUGGCGAAGGCGGCGAUCUGGGAAGAUACUGACGCUGAGGUGCGAAAGCGUGGGGAGCAAACAGG
rnacentral:rRNA from 1 species